UGAUUAUGAUUAUUAUUAUAUUUGUUGUUAUUCUAGUUAUCUUGUCCUCGUAUUAUUCUAGUCCCCUUGUCUUCUCUAGUUUAAUUUCUCAUUUAGUAUCUUUGUGUUUAUUUAAGGUUUGGUAUUUGUUCACUUUGUUCUAGUUCUCCCUCCUGUUACGUCAGCUUUAGUUAUUGAUUACAUCUUAGUUUGUAUUUAUUUUAGUCCUCUCUCCCUCUGCUUCAUUCCCUGUUUGGUUCAGUCAGUGUUUAGUUUUGUUUACGUUUGUACUUAGGGUUUCUUUAUGGUUUCUUUGGAUAGAUCUUAGGUUAUGUUGUUCUUUUGUUCCCUCUAGUUUCUCUGUUUACUUUAGUUAAUCAUUAUUUUAGGUUCUUAUGUUUCUUUGGUUCUUUAUCUUUGUCCUUAGCUUCCUUUAGUUCUGGUUCCCUGAUUCUUGUUUAUGCAGUGCUUACUUAUAGUUUUGUUUUUAUAGUCAGUUCCUUUUAUGUCAUAGUCCAGUUCCUCUCAUGUCACCUUUGUUUUCUAGUUAGGUCUCCUUAGCAACUAUCAAUACUCCCUCAGUUCUCUGCAGCCUGGUUCACACCUGUUUUCUAUUCUCCUCUGAUUUCCUGCCUCUGUGUCUCAUUGGUUCAUACCUCACUCCCCUCUGCUUAUAAGCUCUCUAGUUCUCUUUGUUCUUCGCUGGUUCCUUCCGUCUUGUCAUCAUCGUUCUUGUCCGUUCCGUCCACUAUUAUGCCAAUGCCUAAGUUUUGCGCUACAUUCCUGCAGUGACUUCAUCUUUUCAAACCGCAACCCAGAUAACUGCCAUUACUUUCCUGCAACGGUCUGAUAAUGAAGAUGUAUGAAUGCAGGAACUUCAGAGGUGAUAAACAAAAGCACUGCAGAGUGAGGAUCCUCGGAGAAGCCCUGAAUACUGUGGGAGAAUACCAAUUAGUCCAAGCCUCAUUGGCAAGGCCUCCUUGAAAGCUGACAAAAGUGUUGCAGUUUGGGGCUGGUGCCUAUCUCCAGAGGUCAUUGGGGAAGACGUGGGGUACACCCUGUACAGGUUGCCAGCUCAUCAAAAAGGCAACAGAGAGACACACAACCAUGUACAAACACUCAGACCAAAGGGCAAUUUAGAGAGACCAAUUAACCUAACAGUCAUGUUUUUGUGCUGUGGGAUGAGCCCUGACAGAACCCUCACAUGCUCAGGGAUAACUUGCAAACUCCAUUGAGAAAAAGUCCAGUUUGGGAUUUGA